GACGAACGCUGGCGGCGUGCUUAACACAUGCAAGUCGAACGGAAAGGCCCUGCUUUUGUGGGGUGCUCGAGUGGCGAACGGGUGAGUAACACGUGAGUAACCUGCCCUUGACUUUGGGAUAACUUCAGGAAACUGGGGCUAAUACCGGAUAGGAGCUCCUGCUGCAUGGUGGGGGUUGGAAAGUUUCGGCGGUUGGGGAUGGACUCGCGGCUUAUCAGCUUGUUGGUGGGGUAGUGGCUUACCAAGGCUUUGACGGGUAGCCGGCCUGAGAGGGUGACCGGCCACAUUGGGACUGAGAUACGGCCCAGACUCCUACGGGAGGCAGCAGUGGGGAAUAUUGCACAAUGGGCGGAAGCCUGAUGCAGCAACGCCGCGUGCGGGAUGACGGCCUUCGGGUUGUAAACCGCUUUCGCCUGUGACGAAGCGUGAGUGACGGUAAUGGGUAAAGAAGCACCGGCUACCUACGG
rnacentral:rRNA from 1 species